UACUUGCUUCCUUGAAGAACACUGAUAAUGUAGAAAUAAACUGUUUCCAGUCCCCUGGACACCCGCAGUAUUCAGAAGAGUAGCUGAAGGUGCUGCAAAGUUAUUCAUCUCAGAGGGAUGCUGACCCAGCACUUCUCCUUCCUGCUGCCAUGUGAAGAAGGACGUGAAACAUGUCACUGCCAUGAUUGGCCAUGGAAGGAGUCUAUUCAAGUGAUGGUCCCUGAAGCUUAUGUUUUUUUAACUUUCUAGCAAUUCUACCACAAGUAAAAAACAGACUACUUCAUACAGCUCCAGAGCCUAGAGAAGUGCCUGGGUCAGAGCAGAGUCCCAGGAAGCAUUUGUGGAUGGAAUACAAGAACAAAUGAACAAAUGAAUUGCAGCCUGGCUGCCAACAGAAACGCUUCGGGAUUUGACCUGCUUCUUCCCCCUUCAGACAAUGUGGUUUGACUUUUCUUUUAUUAUGUUUGUUGAAAGCAAAAGUAAAUUCUAUUAAUCCAUUAUAAAAACAA
rnacentral:lncRNA from 1 species